rnacentral:rRNA from 1 species
UACGUAGGUGGCAAGCGUUGUCCGGAUUUACUGGGCGUAAAGAGCGCGCAGGCGGUCGUUCAAGUCGCGUGUGAAAGCCCCCCGGCUCAACUGGGGAGGGUCACGCGAUACUGAUCGACUCGAAGGCAGGGAGAGGGUAGUGGAAUUCCCGGUGUAGUGGUGAAAAUGCGUAGAUAUCGGGAGGAACACCAGUGGCGAAGGCGAGCU